UUAAAAGAUGUAUUUAGGGGGUUGGAGAGAUGUCUCAGCUGUUAAGAGCAUAAUGCUCUUGCAAAGGAUCUGGGUCCAAUCAUGUAUCACUUCAGUUCCAGGGGAUCCAAUACCCUCUUCUGACUUCCACAAGCACUGAACACACAUGUGGUGCAAAUAUAUGUAUGCAGGCAAAACAUUCACACAGUAAUUAAAUAAAUCAAAUUAAAUUUAAAAUAAAAAAGGUACAGUAGAAACAAAUGAGAAGCACAAGCCUGAAAGAGAGAGAGAGAGAGAGAGAGAGAGAGAGAGAGAGAGAGAGAGAGAGAGAGAGAGAGAAAGAGAGAGAAGAAACCAGUAGCCAAUCAGAGUCAGGAUAUGGACAUUAUAACGGUUUGAAUAUGGCUUAUUUCCCAAAAGUUCAUGCUCUAGAAACUUGAUCCCCUGAUCUGAAGAGGCAAAACCCAAAUACAGCUGAUAGGUCAAAUGACCCUGGUGGGAAGGGGUUGGUGUAGUGGAUACCUGUUCUACCUAUGGCCUUGAAGUACCAGCUCCUAGGGAGUGGCCUCAGGGCUACCCUUAAGAACUGAGGGCAUGUACACCUUGUUCUAUUCUCCCUCAUGGACUUGGAUGGUGGGGACUGACUCAGGCAGCAGAAGCAGCAUGGGACAGACCACCAGCCUUCCAGGACUCUAUGACAGAUUUGCCUAUCCUGUUUUGUGAAUUGUUCUCCCCCAAAUAAUUUCUAAAUAAAUAAUUCCUUUAUCAAUAUCUGUGGACCAUUCAGCAAUAUCUGGAGCCCAACAUGGGGCACGAAUUUUCGGCCCUGGGAUUAAGAGUCCCAUGCUCUACUGACUGAGCUAGCUGAAUCAUCUGGGCAACUUGUUUUCAUUGGUGUCUGGUCCCCUCAUCCUGAAAAUAUAUAAACUUUUAAAGGUAACAUACAUAUCUGCAUUAAUACAAGUACAGACUGUGCAUUGUACACAAGUCAGCCAAAGAUAAUUUCUUGUUAUGUGUUUGAGCAGGUAAAUUAUACAUCACGUGUCUUGCAGUUCUUUUAGGUCUAUGUUUUUAUGUCUGUAGUCAGGAUUUCAGGGCAUCUUCCUCAAUAAAAUCUGAUCAUCUUUAAUUUUGAAUGAAUCCAUAGUCUCUCAUUUCCUGUGGAAACAAAAACAACCUCUCCCCCAAAGUGGCAUACCUUUUGACUUAAAUUUUGGAGUCAAGAUAUUUUUAAAAUAUGUAGAUUGGUUUAAUUCAACAGUUUUUAUAAUCAAAUGUCUCAUGCGGUCAAAAAAUUUAAAGACAACACAAUAAUAUACAUAAUCCAGACUUUCUGUGCAUUUUCCAUCAUCACCUGGCUCAUUUAUUUAUAUUACUUUACUCCCCUUUCUAAGGACUUUAUUUUACUAUUUUAAAACUACGUGUGUGUAUGUGUGUGUGUGUGUGUGUGUGUAGUGUCUGUACAGUUAGAUACUGGGAUAAUGGCUUCUUGUUUAUUGUGCUAGGGCUUUGAGUGGUCUGGAGAAGCAUUCCACUGCUGAGGGAUAGGCCCAGUCAUAUUUGUUCUUUUUAUUUUAAAGUCUCAUUAAAUUGUCAUGCUGGCCUUGAACCCAGACAGUUCUUGAACUCAUAAUCUUCCUUUCUCAGCCUCUUGAAUAACUGGGAUUACAAAUUUGUGCCAGGAGGUGUAGAGGGCACAGUGUAAGGUUUUGGUCCUUAUUUACGUCCUUUAAUUACGUCAUCAGCCUUCGCCGGCUUCCCAGCCUAAAAAGCGGUUGGGCCCUCUGUGGGCUCUCUCUGUCCCCUCUCCUUUGCGCUCCUUACCCCCGUCAGUCCCCCUCUCUCCCUCCCCCCCUCCUGUCUCUCUCUCUUUCUUUCUCUCCCUCUCUCUGUCUUUCUCUGUCUCUCCCCCCCCCCAAAUAAAGCUCUAAAAAGGUAACCAUGGCUAAGAUUCUUUCAAUCAGCACGCUCCUCCGCGGGCACGCUCCUCCGCGGGCAUGGCUGCCGCGGGCGGUGACCAGCCACGAGGGGCAGCUCGGCGGCAUAACCAACAAUGGUGCCGUGACUCGGAUACACCACUGAACACCGAGGACCUGCUGACUGCUGCUGCUUGCCGCCUCUUCCCCCAUCCAGCGAGACUGCGAGACUGCGAGCGCGCGCGCGUCCCUCGCCGCCUCCGCUGGACCCCCACACCGCCACCGCCAUGAUUCUUCACCACAGUGGAUCAAUGUGGCGCAGCUGCAGCCCUUCACAUCCCUUGACGAAGAGGAUGGUGAACUUGAGCUGAUUCAUGGAUCUCUCUCCACUCUUUGGGGACGCCCAAGAUUGUAGUCUGAUCCCGGUUUGUUAUUUUAAUUUUUUAUUUUUUUUUUCUCUCGGCUACACCCAUGCGACAAAAGGGCGGAUAUAUUGGUGGAUAGGGGCGGGCACCGGUAAACCUGGUCUCAUAACAGUGUAAAUCUGGCCGCAUAACAGAGUCGCGGGAACUUCUGCCAGAGAACGGGCAAAUAAGAGUCACUUUAUCUCCAAGCUUUCUGCUAAAGUUCUGAAACCCUGCUCCUUCCCCACUUCUGCGUCUCCAUGUGCAACCUUUACUGUCUGACUUCCGCCGGAGGUGGGCGGGCUCAAGUGGGCGGGCUUGGGCGGCUUCUAGGACUCGCCCUAACUCACCUUAACUCCACCCACUCAUUCUCAAACUGCCUUGAGAAGCACAGACGGGUCUAAAAGCGGCUAAGAUCCAUACAAAUAAGUUUACAGUAGUCAGGAUGGCUCAUAAGCCAAAAAAACUGCUUAUAGCCUCAGACAAGUCUUCCGGAAAGGAUCGGUUUAUAGUCUGCCUACUGGCAGAUCUUCCAAAAGCUGUCCUUAAGCCAUCAAUCAGCAGGAAAAAAAAAAAAAUUUUUCAGGACAUAGAGUAAAAUUCAUCUCUUGUUCCCCAGACCUCCCCGACUAAAACUUAAGCAUCUGGAGAGCAAGGCUCCUGACCCCACAGGCAAAAGAGUCAUCUGUGGCAUUUAAGGUGUGCCAGGGAAGAGAUAAAAGCCCGAAAACAAAAUUGCCAAGUGCUGGCACUCGCUGACUCCCAAAAGCUGUUGGGUCCCUGUUUUAGGUGAGGAAAAGGCCACAGGCUAGAGAAUGCCCUGCCAGGCCAUCGAUAGCCUUGUUAAAAGUGCCACCUAGAAAGACAGAGUCAGCUGACUGCCCCCAGGCACCAAGAUGCAUGGGUACAUCAAGCUAAGACCUUCAGCAGACCUAGGCUUGGCUACAGACAUGGCAGGGAACCCAGAACGCAGCAGGGAAGUGAUCCGAUUCUUUCCUUCUGGACACCAAAGCCACUGACUCAGUCCUGGGAGUUUUGGGAUGCCACCUCUCCUUUAUUGUCAGGUACAGAGGACAGCCUUACCACCUCACCAGAUUUAAUUGCACUUUCAGAGUUACUUAAUGAAAAAGAUUUCCACCUAAAAUAAGAGCUCAUUGCUUCACUCCAGAUCCACUGCCUGUGUUUCUCAUGUGCAUACAGACAGGGCCCUGAUCUUUGCCUUGUCCCUAAUUCAAAAAAAAAAAAUUUUCAUGUACCACAAGCUUUUCUCUUCCCAGUUCCCUGUUCUAACUCACUGUUCAGCUAAUGGUACAGGACCACCACAGAACCGGAGACCA